GACGUAGGGCGCGAGCGUUGUCCGGAUUUAUUGGGCGUAAAGAGCUCGUAGGCGGCUUGUCGCGUCGACUGUGAAAUCCCGCGGCUCAACUGCGGGUCUGCAGUCGAUACGGGCAGGCUAGAGUUCGGUAGGGGAGACUGGAAUUCCUGGUGUAGCGGUGAAAUGCGCAGAUAUCAGGAGGAACACCGGUGGCGAAGGCGGGUCUCUGGGCCGAUACUGACGCUGGAGGCACGAAAGCGUGGGGAGCAAACGGG
rnacentral:rRNA from 1 species